rnacentral:misc_RNA from 1 species
GAUGAAGAACGCAGCGAAAUGCGAUAAGUAAUGUGAAUUGCAGAAUUCAGUGAAUCAUCGAAUCUUUGAACGCACAUUGUGCCCGCCAGUAUUCUGGCGGGCAUGCCUGUUCGAGCGUCAUUACAACCCUCAGGCCCCCGGGCCUGGCGUUGGGGAUCGGCGGAGCCCCCCGUGGGCACACGCCGUCCCCCAAAUACAGUGGCGGUCCCGCCGCAGCUUCCAUCGCGUAGUAGCUAACACCUCGCGACUGGAGAGCGGCGCGGCCACGCCGUAAAACACCCAACUCUUCUGAAGUUGACCUCGAAUCAGGUAGGAAUACCCGCUGAACUUAAGCAUAUCAAUAAGCGGAGGA